rnacentral:miRNA from 1 species
CUACUUGGAUGGAAAAAAUGCUUUUUAAAAUUGACUGUCUGGCUGGAGAGAUGGCUCAGUUGUUAAAGGCUAGACUCACAACCAAAAAUAUA